AUGCAAAAGGCAGAAAGAAACCGUUUAAGGCUAAAAGCAUCUGUUGUGGUUGUUAGGUUGCUAACAUUUGGAUCUUGCGCUUUUAGAGGACAUAAUGAGAAAGUUGAGUCAAGGAAUAAAGGAAAUUUUCUUGAAUUGUUAGAGCUUCUCGCAGCGUUCAGUCCUGAUCUUGCCAAAGUCAUUUUGGGGAAUUCUCCAUACAACUCAAAGUACACGUCUCCGGAUAUUCAAAAGGAAACCUUGUCCAUAUAUGCAUAUAAAGUUAGGAGACAUAUCCGUGAAGAAAUCGGGGAUUCUAAAUUCUCUAUUCUAGUGGAUGAGACAUGUGAUGUGGCGAAAAGAGAACAAAUGACACUGGUUUUUAGAUUUGUUAAUGAAGCUGGCUUUUCACAAGAGCGGUUAUUUGAUUUGAUACAUGUGGCCAACACUAAGGCCAUGACAUUGAAAGAUAAAUUGUGCUCUGCAUUAUCACUAAAUGGUUUUGAUAUUCAGAAACUUUGUGGACAAGGAUACGAUGGGGCUAGCAACAUGAGAGGAGAACUGAAUGGAUUGCAAUCUUUUUUUUUCCUGAAGGUGUGCCCAUAUGCAUACUACGAUCAUUGUUAUGCUUACAGACUGCAACUUGCACUAGUAGAUGCAUCCAAAGAGGUGGUUCCUAUUGCCUAG
rnacentral:rRNA from 1 species